AUUUAAAUAGUUUAUAAAAAAAAUUUUAGUACGUGAAACUAAAGAUAUGAUAAUUUCAUUUUAAAUA
rnacentral:tRNA from 1 species